rnacentral:rRNA from 1 species
AACGAACGCUGGCGGCAUGCCUAACACAUGCAAGUCGAACGAGACCUUCGGGUCUAGUGGCGCACGGGUGCGUAACGCGUGGGAACCUGCCCUUAGGUUCGGAAUAACUCCCCGAAAGGGGUGCUAAUACCGGAUAAUGUCUUCGGACCAAAGAUUUAUCGCCUUUGGAUGGGCCCGCGUUGGAUUAGCUAGUUGGUAGGGUAAAAGCCUACCAAGGCGACGAUCCAUAGCUGGUCUGAGAGGAUGAUCAGCCACACUGGGACUGAGACACGGCCCAGACUCCUACGGGAGGCAGCAGUGGGGAAUAUUGGACAAUGGGCGAAAGCCUGAUCCAGCAAUGCCGCGUGAGUGAUGAAGGCCUUAGGGUUGUAAAGCUUUUUUACCCGGGAUGAUAAUGACAGUACCGGGAGAAUAAGCUCCGGCUAACUCCGUG